UCUUAGAAAGAAAAAGAUUAAUAACCCAAGAGAAGAAAGAAAACAGGCAAGCCUCUGGACAAGAAACUUACAAAAGAGAAACCUCAAACGUCCCCUGAUGGGAAACGGUGGUUAGAAGUGAUCAGGGAAAUGCAAAUUAGUGAAUAUUUAAUUCAACAAAAAGAUAUCAGUAUAUAGUGUCAUUUUGAUGAAAAUUGAAAGGUCUGACAGUUUGUACUGAUGGGCCUUACGGGCAUAUGGGGCUCAGGCUGCUAGUGGGGUACAGAGUGAUACGUGUAUUUUGGAAGGCGGUAGAUGAUGUCUAGGACCACUAGAAGUAGAUACCACACGUACCCGGAAUUUCUCCUUUUAAAAACUUCAAGAAACUCAGGCAUAUCACAAGGAGACAGCGUGAGGACGUUUAGAGCAGUAGUGUUGGUAACAGCAAAAGGCUCUGUUAGUAGGGGCAUGUUGCAGAGUACAUUCAUAGACUGCCUAUCCUCUAUUACGGUUAAGGUGGAUUCGAAUUCUAUGCUUUCACACUAAUAGAUCUAAAACUUCUAACAGCAGAUGGAAAAAAAGUUGCCAGCCUACAUUUAUGUGCGAUAUGACUCCAUUUGUAUAGACUGAAAUACAAAACAACCUAAGUAUCUGAGGAUGCCCGUGCGUGUAGGAAAUGCACGGAAUCACGGAACCACAUGCUGUGCCGUGGUCACCUCCGGGUGAGGGAGGGCUGUGUGACUUGGGAGAGACACAGGGAACUUCAACUCUGUGCUGUUUCAUUUCUUGAAACAAAGUUAUGAAGAAAAUACAGAAUACUCCUAUUUGCUCACGUUGGGUGGCAAUUAGACACGGGUCUAUGCUCUCUGCCUUGCUUGUUUUCACAGUAACAAUUUAAGGCACAGAGGAGAAACAAAAGGCAGAAAUAUCUUUUAAAAAAGAGGAAGAGAUCUGUGGAGCUAUUAUAAAGUGAUUCUGUUUAAGAAUACCUUCCAGCCUCCCAUUGGCUAUGAGGUCCUGUUUCCGUUAUGAGACCUUGUAUUCUGCAACAGGACCUGACACUUUUUUCCACCAUCCUUAUUUUUGGGCUGAGGAAACAGGUUGCAGCUACUUUCUUAGGUAAACUAGAUUUCGAAAGCCCUGAGUGUGCCGUGUGGCCUCCAAGACCGAAGGGCAGUGUUGGCUAAACCCCCCUCCACUGGUUAGCCUCGCCUGCUCUGGGAUGGCUCACUCCCUAGGUGAUUGUGAACCUUCUAGAAGUGGCUCUGGGCAAAGUUCCCAGCUUCAAAUCCUACCCUUGGAGACAUGGGUCCCUGAGGAACUGGUUCAGUAGGAAGACCCAUUGUCCGGCUCCAGGGUGCUGCCUGCCCCCCACAGGUCAGAGGGGUGGCACAGGGAAAGAAGGGGUCUCCUGGCACCCUUCACUCUCCUGCCCCUCUCCAGGUCCCUUCCCAUCACCAGGGAAGGAAGUAGAGUCUUCUCCUUCCCUCCUUCCCUUACUGACACUCGCAUGCCCAGAGAUGCUGCACGUGGUACCCCAUCUGUACUAAUGGAUGAAUCCGCGCAAAGCUUUGAAGUUGUUUGGGACCAAAAGAAUGCCUUGGCACAUCCAUCCCCUCCCCGGGGUUGCUCUGUUAGAGCUGGUCAUGCUUUCUUUCCAGGGGGCAAGCACCCUGACUUGUAAGCGGUUGAAUUCUUUUAUUCAAGAAGACCAGCCUAAAACUGGCUCUGCACACAAAGCUCAGCCGCAGGCUCAUGUUGUGAGCCGCCGUGCUGUCUUACAGUCGUCAGGAAGGAUCACAAGGGUGCGAGCAGGCUGGCUGUGUGCCUGCCGUCUGGGUAGCUCCAGCAUGUACGGUUCUCCCUGUAACGGCCUGCAAAGUACUUCCAGACCCUGGAGUCUUUGCAUUUUCUCUUUUCUCAGUGUUGGUACCACAUGGCAUUGACAGCUGAGCCCCAGUUCUGUUGGCGUGAAAGUCUUGUGAUCUCUGGCAGUCUGAAUGAAAGUAUGUCUUAAGUUGGUCCAAUCUAAACAAGGUGCCUCCUAAAAGCCCAGUGUCUCAAAACCACAAAUAAAGGGAGAGAAGAUUCAUGAUCGGUCUCCCCCCCGCCACUUACUUCUUUAUAUAAAUUUUUUCUUUCCAGCAGCUGGUCUCCAGGUGUGUGGUUCUUGUGAACCAGACUUCAGAGCGGAGAAGUUGCAACCGAACUCUGAGCCAGGAGAUUCUCUGCUGGUCCCUAAGGAUUUAAAAAAAGAUCCAUGAAAGCAAACCUCGGCCCUGAAGGAUUUCGAAGACCACUCCUCAGGGAGCAGACACGGGAGCAAGUGCUGAGUCUAGAAGUGUAGCAGUCAGGGCAUGAGCCCCGAACAGGACAGAAGAGCUAACUCUGCUCUUGGCAAAGGGGAGAAGAGAGAUGCCCCCAGACUCGGUUCUCAGGUCUUGGGUUAAUAAAUGCAGUUGCAUUCAUUUUUACA